CAGGAGAACCCCCCCCGGGACAGACCCAGAAAACCCUGACUCAUCGGGCCUUGGAACGGCCCCAGGAUCCCUGAGGAGGAGCGGGACACGUGAACCACCUCAACCCGACUGUGAACAACCAACUAACACAGGAAUAGGUUCUCACCGUGGAGGUGUCCAGCCGCUGCACCGCAGAGGAUCCGACUGCAGGGGGAGACAGCGAGAGGGGGAGAGAUCGUUAAGCUUCGACGUUACGGCUCUUACCGCUUCAGAUGGACUCAGAGGGAGAAGGAAACCUUCCUCCACUUGGGGACCACCUCAAACACGAGGAGACAAUCCUCCACAGAACGAUCGCCCUGAGUCCUGAGUAUACCUGUGGAAGCUGUCCACCAUUUUGAGGUGCACCCUCAGGUCCUUCUUGGUGAGGUGGUCCAGCAUGCGGGCGUCCACCAGGCACUCCAUGAAGUAGCUGCGGUACUGAGGUAGUCCGAGACUGGGCAGCCACUCGUUCCCUAUCCACUCAUGGUUCAUGUCGCCAUAAGCCAGAGUCUGAGAGGAGACGCACGUCAGGACACAUUCAGAACCUCGAAAGAAAACUCUUAAUUGAUGUGUGAGUAGAAACGGGGUUCUCGUACCUGUGCCCAGCUCCCCUCCUCAGAGUCUGAUUUCUGGUUGAAACACAAGGACAAGACAAAACAAUGCCAUGUGAUCAUUCUGUGACAAAUCCUGCAGCUGCAACCAAACCAACAACACGGUGCAUGCUGAAUUUAGGGUUAUCGACAAUUCAAGCAGGGUGGGUUUUACGUUGCUACAGCCGGAUAUAUGCUGCACAACACUAUAAUGUUACCCAGCGUCGAGUUGGUCGUCUAACUCCUACGUCUAUAAGAAAACCAGACGACGGAAGAAACUUUCCUCUUCCCAAACCUUGAAAUAUCCACAAGCAGCUUUCAAGACACAGUAAAUAGCUCGAGGGAACUGUUGAGUAGAGGAAAAAGGGAGAAAUAACUCAGACCUAAAUGGCGUCUGAAUUGGCCUCGGGGGGCCUCUCUUACUCUCAGAUGUUGUCUGACCCAACAGUUUGCAUUUUGGGAAAAAAGGAUCCUAAUGGACUAAAAUGCUGUCCCUGAAAAAAGAUGGUACAAGAUUGGCUUUUAGGUUUGUUGUUCCUGAAACCAGAGAGGAGGCUCAGAAUAUCUGCCGGACGUCAAUAAUACAUGUUGAUGUCUACGAGAUGGCAUUGAAAUAGGGCUGUAGCCUAUAUGUCAUACAUUCAGUCGUGUAUUAUAAUUAAAGCCAAACAUAAAGACCUGGAAAAACCUAAAUACUCUUUGUUUUCAUUUGUGUUUGAGUUAAGUCUUUUUUUCUGAAGAAACAAAUCCUGCAUUUCACAUCUAGCUUCUUC